AGGUUAGAUUGUAUCACUUUUUGUUCUUAAGCUUAAUUUGUGGUGAUUAAUGAAAAAUGUAUAUCAUAUAAACUGUUUAUUAUUAUAUUAACAACAAACUUUUAUAUAAACUAUUUUUUUAUUAACAAAGUAUACUAUCAGUACUCAUUUCGUAAUGAUUUUAAUUAAGAUAAUCAGUUCAAAGUGACUCUAACAAUACCAUUUAUUACGAUGGAAAGUUAUUUAAUAUAAAUUUAUUAAAUAAUAUUGACGAAAACAAUGUAUUUUCAUCUAGUAAUUGUAAUGCCUCUUUCUUAUUAAAAUUUGUUAAGUUGUAAAGCAUUAAAUAUAUUUCAGAUGAUUGUAUUAUUACAAAAAUUUUUAAAAGAAUACUAUUAAUAUUUUGUAUUAUGUUUCACUUUUUUUCCAAGAAAAUUUAUGAAUAAAUUUAACAUAAUUAAUGAUGUAGAUUAAUGUUAUUUAUGAUUGCAAUAAGAAAAUAUUGAUCUCCUUUCAUAACUUUAUUUUUAAUAUAAUUAUACAUAUGUACAAAGACAAUACGGUUAUAAUAUAAAUCUAAAUAAAUAUGAAAAUUAUAUUAGAUUUUUCUUAUACUAUAAACAUAUUUCUACAGAUUUUCAUAGAUAUUUGAUAUCUAAAUAAUUUAUAAUAAAAUAAAUAUUGUCUGCAUAUUUUGUGUUCCCAUUUAUCUUUUGUUAUUUUCUACUGUUGAUUUUACAUCAACAUUAGUAUAACAUUUCAUUGAAUAUAGUAGCAUUUAAUAUUUGUAUUUAUGAAAUAAAUAAUAUGUCAGCAUAUGUUUCAAAAA